UGUCUCUCCUGCCGCUCUCUAUCAUCGCAGCCACCAGCCUUGACACUGCCCCGGGUCCUGCAUUGCUCUGUGCCCGGGCCCAGUGGAACAGCAUGUCCAGCACCAAGGCGCCAAGGUUGUCCCUGGAUGCGUCAUGAGAGGUUUUCUGAACACAAGGAGAAGGGGGAGGGCCAGAUGAGCAUCAGCCUGUAUGUAAUCUCCUGCAGUGUCCCAGAUGGCUUAGUGAUGGCUGACAGUGCAGAUUAAAACAAUCAAAAUUCUGUACCAUUUCUCUCCCAUGGCGGGAUUUCCUCCAAUUACAUGCCCUCUCCCUCCAUCUUGUUUCCGUAGAGGCUUUGGUUGUGCCAGAACCCAUGUGCACCAACUGAUUACAUCAUUGACAACCUUUAACAGUAAAUUUUACAUUUUUAUCUAAA